rnacentral:rRNA from 1 species
UGUUGUAUAAUGGGUCAUCGACUUGGUCUCACAAGCAAGCUUAAGCCGUUAGGUGUAGGCGUAGCGAAAGCGAGUCUUAAUAGGGCGUUGAGUUUGUGGGAUCAGACCCGAAACCGAGUGAUCUAGGCAUGGCCAGGUUGAAGAUAAGGUAACACUUAUUGGAGGACCGAACCCACAUCCGUUGAAAAGGAUCGGGAUGAGCUGUGCCUAGGGGUGAAAGGCCAAUCAAACUCGGAGAUAGCUGGUUCUCUGCGAAAUCUAUUUAGGUAGAGCGUCAUAUGAAUACCCUGGGGGGUAGAGCACUGGAUGGACUAGGGGGCCGCGAGGCUUACCAAAUCUAACCAAACUCCGAAUACCCAGGAGUACUGUAUGGCAGACAGACGGUCGGUGAUAACGUCGAUCGUCAAGAGGGAAACAACCCAGACCUACAGCUAAGGUCCCCAAAUGAUAACUAAGUGUGAAAGGAUGUAGGAAUUCCAUGACAACCAGGAUGUUGGCUUAGAAGCAGCCA